CCAUCAGGCCGCGUGCAAGCCCAGCCCUGUCUCACACCUGGAGGCUGAUGCAGCGGUGCGGCCGGACACGGCCGAGACGUGCACGCGGGGAGACCCGGAGAAGGUGACGCGCAUCACAAUGGCCCCUUCUAGAACCGGCUCGUCGCCGUGCGGCUCCUGGAGACGCGCACAGCAGUUGGACUGCUCCCGAGCCAACACUGCUUGGAGUCAGGUCACACCUGUGUCCUUGGUGUCACCCUGACCGCAAGGCUACAGAAGACUGGACAGUCUUUUAUCCCGGGAGAAAAAUAUGGGAUCCUUUGGAAAGAGAGGAAGGGCAUCUCAGGAGGAGGGACAAGGA